rnacentral:lncRNA from 1 species
UGUAGGCAAUAAAUAGUUCUCCUUCAAUUCCCUCAUAUCUUCUUCUCUUAUCAGUGAAGAAGGUUCCACCUUGAAAAGCAUCUCGAUAGAAUAAGCUAUCGGUUCUGGGAUUUGCAUGUCGAUCGAGGGUUCCCAAAAACUAUCAUACUCUGAGAUAACUGAUCCAAGCUUUCCCUUCAGCUUAACCCUACCACCCACGC